UGGACAGAUUAUUGUAUUCGACUGUAUUCACGGCGUGAAACAGGGGAUUAUACUAUUUUUAAAUGGAAAGUGAAUCAAUUAACAUAAUAGACUCCU
rfam:Nicotiana attenuata strain TT chromosome 2, whole genome shotgun sequence.